UCCUGCCAGUAGUCAUAUGCUUGUCUCAAAGAUUAAGCCAUGCACGUCUAAGAUCGCUAGGGGUGGGCAACCACUUACGAGUAAUCUGCGAAAGGCUCAUUAUAACAGUUACAAACUUGGCUACUAGUUUCCCCACAAGGAUAACACAGCCAAAUGCAGCGAUAAUACUUGAACAAACGUUGGUGAAUUGUAUAGCCAACAAACAGUAGCAACAAAGGAAUGUCUGCUACAUAUCCCCGCAAGGGGUGUUGACCAUAGUAAUGUGGCCUAGAAGAGGUAUUUCUUCCUUAUCAGUUAGUUGUUUCAGUAAGGGUGAAACAAGACUAUUACGGGUACGGGGAAUCAGUGUUCGAUUCCGGAGAGGGAGCCUGAGAAAUGGCUACUACAUCUAAGGAUGGCAGCAGGCGCGAAAAUUACCCAAUCCUAACAUUUUUGGGAGGUAGUGACAAGAAAUAACGACCUUACACGUGACAUAAGUCUGUGGAAGGGUUUCUUUGCAAUGGUUCUAGUUUAAAUCUCUAGGAGAGUAGCGAUUGGAGGACAAGUCUGGUGCCAGCACCCGCGGUAAUUCCAGCUCCAAAAGCAUAUACUAAAAUUGCUGUAGUUAAAACGCUCGUAGUUUAUAAGUAGGUACCCUUAGCCUGUACCUUUUAUGGUCUGGCUCGAGGGAGAUUAACUCGUGAGUGUUCCGACUAUUGAAACCGUGAACAAAUUAAUGUGUUUAAAGCAAGCUUAUGCUUGGCAACAAGUAUCGCUUGAAUAAUUUAGCAUGGAACCCCUUUUUCCCCCGACUGGUAACCCCAGUUGGGGGAUGAGAAAAUAAAAGGUCGGCGGAGGACUCUGGUAUUGUGUGCUUAGAGGUGAAAUUCCGAAAUUUACGCAAGACGAUCGGAGGCGUAGGCUGUCAUUGCCCAUCACACCUUUAUUGAUCAGGAACGAAAGUCAGGGGAUCGAAGAUGAUUAGAUACCGUCGUAGUCCUGACUGUAAACUAUACUAACAGGA
rnacentral:rRNA from 1 species